rnacentral:lncRNA from 1 species
CUAACCUCCUCCUUUGUACAAGCCUCAAAAGACCCUAGCCGCCAUUUGACCACCCCGAAUGGUGAUCAACGGAGGGAGAUCUGCUCGCUCACUAACCCUGCUUAGGUCUUUGCCUUAAGGACCACCGAUUUCAAACCCAAAAUCCCAUCUCGACUACGAUUAAAGCGAAGGAAAUAAGGACUCCACUGGUUCGUUCGUAUAGGUAAACCUCUUUACUUCCUUUUACAAUUUUUAUACUCAAAAUACACAGUAUGUGAAACCAAAGAAACAAAAAACGAAGAGGAAAACAAUCGGAAAAGAAGAACCAAAUCUGAAAAUCACGUUUUGAUUUUUGGUUGCUUUUUUGUAUUUCAAUGCGCGUAUAUUGUGCAUAAAAAAAUUACAAUGACAAAGUUUUUGGCUUUAUAGCCAAAUGAUGAAAACUAAAAAAAAUACAAUCUUUUUGUCCCUUCUUUCUUUGUUUUGCUGUUGUUUUUGUCCCUUUUUGCAGCUACAGGGUGUGUGUGGCGCGUGUACGGGGGCUGUGCGCUGGCGUAUGGAGGCGUGGGAGUGGCUGUGGUGCCAGGAGGCCGUACGGCACUGGCGGUUGGGGCCUGGCUGCGGCGCAAGAGGUAGAAACCCUAGGGUUUAUGUUUCUAAAGUAUUUUGGGCCGUUUGGGCUAAUGUAAUUUUGGGUCUAGGUUUAUUUGGGCUUGUAUUGGGUUUGGGCUAUGGACCAUUUGUAAUUUAGGUUUUAAUUUUGGGCCCUGGACUAUUUAAAAUUAGACUUUAUAAUACUUUUAUUAUAAUUUAUUCUCUCCUUUUUUUGUUUUGUGUUUAUAAAGGCCCGGGCCAAAAUUGGGCCUUACAUAUAUUAUAUUCAAACAUAUAAGUUAAAUUUUACAAAUAGUCAGGUGACACAUCUCAAUAAAAAAUUUUAUAAAUUGUAUAAUUUCAC